rnacentral:tRNA from 3 species
GGCGGAGUGGUGAAAUGGUAGACACAGCAGACUCAAAAUCUGCCGAUCGCAAGGUCAUGCCGGUUCGAGUCCGGCCUCCGCUACCA